rnacentral:sRNA from 1 species
UGAAACUCCCUAGAUUUUACUGUAUAAUGUCAAUGGACUCAUUAUUUGUACAACAGCUGAUGUAUUUAGGACUUGUUGAUUCACUUAAUUGGUAACUGUACUACAUUCAUAACUUCAACAACUGAAAACAAUAGGUCAGUGUCUGCUGUUUAUGCAUAAAUAGUCACAUCGGAGCAGGAUAUGUCUGAAAGGCAGAAUAUGUUAGUCUGAGGAGGAAUCUGGCAUGUGAAUGGCUCCAUUGCUUGCCAUACUGAGAUCCUGAGGUGCAGAGGCAAUUCCCGGAGGACUACAGUGACCAGGAAGUUCUACAGACUUUGACCAAGUUUUGUUUCCCCUUCUAUGUGGACAGCCUCACAGUUAGCCAAGUUGGCCAGAACUUCACGUUCGUGCUCACUGACAUUGACAGCAAACAGAGAUUUGGGUUCUGCCGCUUAUCUUCAGGAGCGAAGAGCUGCUUCUGUAUCUUAAGGAAAAUCAGUGGAAUGAGCUUCUUGAAACUCUGCACAAACUUCCCAUCCCUGACCCAGGAGUGUCUGUCCAUCUCAGCGUGCAUUCUUAUUUUACUGUGCCUGAUACCAGAGAACUUCCCAGCAUACCUGAGAAUAGAAAUCUGACAGAAUAUUUUGUGGCUGUGGAUGUUAACAACAUGUUGCAUCUGUACGCCAGUAUGCUGUACGAACGCCGGAUACUCAUCAUUUGCAGCAAACUCAGCACUCUGACUGCCUGCAUCCACGGGUCUGCGGCGAUGCUCUACCCCAUGUACUGGCAGCACGUGUACAUCCCCGUGCUGCCGCCGCAUCUGCUGGACUACUGCUGUGCUCCCAUGCCCUACCUCAUAGGAAUCCAUUUAAGUUUAAUGGAGAAAGUCAGAAACAUGGCCCUGGAUGAUGUCGUGAUCCUGAAUGUGGACACCAACACCCUGGAAACCCCCUUCGAUGACCUCCAGAGCCUCCCAAACGACGUGAUCUCUUCCCUGAAGAACAGGCUGAAAAAGGUCUCCACAACCACUGGGGAUGGUGUGGCCAGAGCGUUCCUCAAGGCCCAGGCCGCUUUCUUCGGUAGCUACCGAAACGCUCUGAAAAUCGAGCCGAAAGGAAGUGGAGCAAUUCUGAAUACUGUAAAGACCAAAGCAAAUCCGGCCAUGAAGACUGUCUACAAGUUCGCAAAAGAUCAUGCAAAAAUGGGAAUAAAAGAGGUGAAAAACCGCUUGAAGCAAAAGGACAUUGCCGAGAAUGGCUGCGCCCCCACCCCAGAAGAGCAGCUGCCAAAGACUGCACCGUCCCCACUGGUGGAGGCCAAGGACCCCAAGCUCCGAGAAGACCGGCGGCCAAUCACAGUCCACUUUGGACAGGUGCGCCCACCUCGUCCACAUGUUGUUAAGAGACCAAAGAGCAACAUCGCAGUGGAAGGCCGGAGGACGUCUGUGCCGAGCCCUGAGCACCUGGUAAAGCCCUUGCGACACUAUGCGGUCUUCCUCUCCGAAGACUCCUCUGAUGAUGAAUGCCAGCGGGAAGAGGGCCCGAGCUCUGGCUUCACCGAGAGCUUUUUCUUCUCCGCUCCCUUUGAAUGGCCGCAGCCAUAUCGGACACUCAGGGAGUCAGACAGCGCGGAAGGCGACGAGACAGAGAGUCCAGAGCAGCAAGUGCGGAAGCCCACAGGCCCUGUCCCAGCUCCCCCUGACCGGGCUGCCAGCAUCGACCUUCUGGAAGACGUCUUCAGCAACCUGGACAUGGAGGCCGCACUGCAGCCACUGGGCCAGGCCAAGAGCUUGGAGGACCUUCGUGCCCCCAAAGACCUGAGGGAGCAGCCAGGGACCUUUGACUAUCAGAGGCUGGAUCUGGGCGGGAGUGAGAGGAGCCGCGGGGUGACAGUGGCCUUGAAGCUUACCCACCCGUACAACAAGCUCUGGAGCCUGGGCCAGGACGACAUGGCCAUCCCCAGCAAGCCCCCAGCUGCCUCCCCUGAGAAGCCCUCGGCCCUGCUCGGGAACUCCCUGGCCCUGCCUCGAAGGCCCCAGAACCGGGACAGCAUCCUGAACCCCAGUGACAAGGAGGAGGUGCCCACCCCUACUCUGGGCAGCAUCACCAUCCCCCGGCCCCAAGGCAGGAAGACCCCAGAGCUGGGCAUCGUGCCUCCACCGCCCAUUCCCCGCCCGGCCAAGCUCCAGGCUGCCGGCGCCGCACUUGGUGACUUCUCAGAGCGGCUGCAGACGGAUCGGGACAGGCGAGCCGCCCUGAGUCCAGGGCUCCCGCCUGGUGUUGUCUCCCAAGGCCCCACUGAACUGCUCCAGCCGCUCAGCCCUGGCCCCGGGGCUGCAGGCACGAGCAGUGACGCCCUGCUCGCCCUCCUGGACCCGCUCAGCACAGCCUGGUCAGGCAGCACCCUCCCGCCACGCCCCGCCACCCCGAAUGUAGCCACCCCAUUCACCCCCCAAUUCAGCUUCCCCCCUGCGGGGACACCCACCCCAUUCCCACAGCCACCACUCAACCCCUUUGUCCCAUCCAUGCCAGCAGCCCCACCCACCCUGCCCCUGGUCUCCACACCAGCCGGGCCUUUCGGGGCCCCUCCAGCUUCCCUGGGGCCGGCUUUUGCAUCCGGCCUCCUGCUGUCCAGUGCUGGCUUCUGUGCCCCUCACAGGUCUCAGCCCAACCUCUCCGCCCUCUCCAUGCCCAACCUCUUUGGCCAGAUGCCCAUGGGCACCCACACGAGCCCCCUACAGCCGCUGGGUCCCCCAGCAGUUGCCCCGUCGAGGAUCCGAACGUUGCCCCUGGCCCGCUCAAGUGCCAGGGCUGCUGAGACCAAGCAGGGGCUGGCCCUGAGGCCUGGAGACCCCCCGCUUCUGCCUCCCAGGCCCCCUCAAGGCCUGGAGCCAACACUGCAGCCCUCUGCUCCUCAACAGGCCAGAGACCCCUUUGAGGAUUUGUUACAGAAAACCAAGCAAGACGUGAGCCCGAGUCCGGCCCUGGCCCCGGCCCCAGACUCGGUGGAGCAGCUCAGGAAGCAGUGGGAGACCUUCGAGUGAGCCGGGCCCUGAGGGUGGGGGAUGCACCGAGGCCCGAGGGUCCGUCCACUGCUGCGGUUCCAAGGCUCCCCCGCCACUCUCUCUCUGCCCAGGUUCUGCUGGUGGGAAGGGAUGGGACCCCUCUCUGCUGCCCCCUCCUCCCCUCCACACUGCCCAUCUCUGAGGUCUGGCCCUGGGGAAUGGCACCAGUUCCAGCCUGGGAAUCAACCCAGUUCCUGAGUGCCCAUCCCACCCCGCGGUUGCCCCUCCUCGGCACCCUUGAUUAGGUUUUGCACUAAAGAGGUCAGCUGGGCCAAUGAUGAUACUGCUCCAGACCGAGUCCUACCCACCUUCCCCCUGGAAGUGUCCCGAGAGGCUCCGAAGGCCUCCCCUCCGAGCCCAGCUCUCCUGUCUCCUCCACAGCCAGGCCCUGCACGCCCACCUCCUCGGACACAGGUGACAGGGUUACUCUCCAGUUUGAGCUCAUCUGCAUGAGACACGGGUGGCUUGGGGUUGAAGUUAGGACUCCUCCUGGGCUGGAGGAUUUACCUGGUGGGGCACUUCCAGACUGUUUCUAGCAAUAUACAGCACACGUUCUUUCCUGUGUCUUCACCCCAAAACUUCAGUUGAUUCUGACCUGGGAGGAUCUGGGGACCAGGGGGUCUUGGGCUGCCUUGUGAUACACAGCCCCAGCCACCCUGCACGGGGGCUGCGAGCACCAGCAACUUUGAUUUAUAGAAGGAAAAUGGAAACCCCCAUCUGAGUAUUUUGGGAGGAGCCCCCAGCCCUCAUCCAGCUCUGGCACGGCACGCUGAUACCUCCAGGUACUCCCCUCACUGUCAAAGCUGGGGCUCAGCCUCUUGUCAUCUGGAGCUUUGUGGGCAAAGCUGAGAAGCUGCGACCCAGAUUUCAACCCAAAAAGGUCAAGCUGAAUGCCUCAGACUGAUGUGGAAGGCAGCUGGCCUUCCUGGGUUGGAACGAGGCAGUGGCCCUCCAGGCCCUGGAGAAGGCUCCAGGGCCAGGUAGAAAGGACAAACUUGGUCUCUGCCUCGGGGAAGCAGGAGGAGGGCUAGAAGCCAGUCCCUCCCCACCUGCCCAGAGCUCCAGGCCAGCACAGAAAUUCCUGAGGCCAACGUCACCAAAGUUAGUUAGAUUGAAUGUUUAUUAUCUUUUUCCUUUUUACCUUAUUGAUUUGAUGAAUCUUGAAAUGGAUUCAUUUCCAUAAACCAAGUUAAAGUAUGGCCCGACCAUUUAAGAAAACAACCAUCUGAGACACGCAGGAAAUUGUGAGCAUUUCGACCCAAGCUCUCAUUUCCUAUUUGUGAAGGGUCAAACACAGUCUACCCAGGGGUGUCUGAGGGGUCUCUGGAGAUGUCACCCAGGGAGCCCCCUCUAUGUCUGAGAGGCCGCCACUGCUGCACAUGCUCAGUGAGGCUUGGCGGCCGUCCUGGCACAUGGCUCUUCCUGGGUCAACCGUGACCUGUCUGGCUCAGGAAUGGGCUCUGGCUGCUGGGGGAGCCGUGUCACUCCUGGGCCAUGGGGGCACCUCGCGGGCACUUAGGUGUUUCAGCAUAGAUUCCAGUUUCACUCCCUGGGCAGACCCCCAGGCCCCAUCCGGGAUAGGGCAGAGGAGGUGCUGGUGGCCCCAGGGAAGGAGGGUGUGUACCCCAAGGCCCCCUGGCUGUGCUGAGGGGCUGGGGGUGAGCGCUCCAUGUUCACAUGAGCACUGCUGCCUCUUCACUUGUGGGACUUUGCAAACCCAAGGAUGAACUUUGUGUGCAUUCAAUAAAAUCAUCUUGGGGAAGAGG